AUUUGAAAGUGACAUUUCAAAAAUCGUAAAUAACUCCAAAAGGAUGUCAAUAAUUAUAAAAUUUUAAUAAAAACACCAAAAUGUGUAUUGAUUAUAAAUAAACUUAAUCAAUAGGUUUCUAAUUGUGAUAAAAUUCAUAAUGUCUUCGAUAACUUCUAAAUUAGUAUUGGGCCUAUCUUGUGCUGUAACUGUUGCUAUAGUUAGUUAUGUCCAUAUAAAACAGCAGGCAGACAGAGAAAAAAUGCAUGAGGGUGUUAUCCGAGAUACGGAAAGACAACAACGAAGAAAAAUUGAAAACCUUUAUAUAUUAGAGAAGCAAAAUGAGUUAACCAAACAACUUAAAAAGGGAAUAGGAAACUAAAAAAAUCUAAAUUGUUGACUAUGGAACUAUUUAUUAUAUUAUAGAAUAAAAUUAAUUAGCCCUAA